rnacentral:tRNA from 1 species
ACAUCUUUAGCUGAAUGGUACAGCAUUUGCCUUCGAAGCAACUGUUUAUUGGUUCGAGUCCAAUAGGAUGUU